GCGCUCGCUACAGGACACACACGCAGCGGAAGCGAGGCCGUCCUUAUUAGUCGUGACGCGACUGCUGCAUCACGAGCUAAUAACACUAAUGUACACUUUCUAGAGGAAGUAGUACAGCGUCGGUCCCACCGCACUUUGUUCCAGGGUUUAUAGUGACACGUACCUCUGGCGGCGAGCGAGAUGAAGGUCUGCGCGUGUCUGUGCACCAUCUCCGUGUUGACGAGGCCUCGCAGCGGCAGCCGCGACAACAGCAGCGGUAGGAAGUCGUGCGCUGUCACUCCCGCCACGUCCCACUUUAGCUUCGACAGCACCAGCAGCUCCCAGCUCUGUUGCCAACGAAAUAUUUCAUUAAGUAGUUGAAGCAGUCACCAUACGAAGAGAAUAGGUGAUUCGCCUGGAGAGGCGACGUGGCAAGUAGAACACGUGGUGAGAUAAAUCUCAUCACACAGUCGGCGUAGCGCCUAGAGUCGAUCACUCCAUAGAUAUAAUUAAUGUUCCGACAUAAAACUGGAAUUCCAAUCUCUCGCGGAUGUUCAGAGCGCGAAUGAUUUAGAAAUCAGCCGAGUGAACGACACGAAAGCACCUAGCAGAGCUAACUGCAAAAUUAGUGCAUGCGCGUGCGCAAUGCAAAAACUCAGCCACACGAAACUGCAUGAUUAAUGAGAUCAGCUGUUUCCCGAGACGAAGAAAGUUAAUUAAAUCUUCAUAUUACUUCAUAUGGCAGUGCGCGGAACGCCAGGCGCAUACUCCGUGUGCUAUUGAUGUAAUUAACAGUACGCAACCAAUGAAUUGAUUGAAUCGCUGAUGACACUGGCGGUGUUGCACGACGUAUUUCAUUGUGCUUACGCGAUAUCUCUUUGGACAUAGAUGUAGGAUUAACGGCAGAAGUAGGUAGCUACUUACG
rnacentral:lncRNA from 1 species